UGCCAGCCGCCGCGGUAAUACAGAGGGAGCAAGCGUUGUUCGGAAUUACUGGGCGUAAAGGGCGCGUAGGCGGCCCAGCAAGUCUUAUGUGAAAUCCCCCGGCUCAACUGGGGAACUGCAUAGGAAACUGCUGGGCUUGAGUUCGGGAGAGGGAAGCGGAAUUCCGGGUGUAGCGGUGAAAUGCGUAGAUAUCCGGAGGAACACCGGUGGCGAAGGCGGCUUCCUGGACCGACACUGACGCUGAGGCGCGAAAGCUAGGGUAGCAAACGGGAUUAGAUA
rnacentral:rRNA from 1 species